CACAACUUUUUUACCCACUUCCUUUCACAACAAACUCGCUGUCGCUGAGCGUGGGGUCGAAAGUCAGACUGGCUCCCUCUAGCGUCAUGGAGUGGAAAUGACACGCCGUCUCAAAACAGAGCCUCAAACCUGUUGGUGACGGGCAUUCCUGCACCAUCAGAGAAGUUUCUGGACCCGUGCAACCCCUCAGGAGUGCCUCUCUCUCUCCCCUGAGCUCACUCAGUAGCUGCCCACUACAAACAUGUGUUGCACCAGACCUCUCAGUAAAAAACUUCUGGAAAGAGAACAGCUUCCUAUUCCGUAUGUCCCCUUGGAGAUGACUGUAGCUGCGCACAUGCCUCCCCUGCGCUCCUCCAGCCCGACCCAGCGGGCCCCCGGUGGCCCUGUGCCUAAAACCAACCUCAGUCUCAGAAAUGUUCAGAGGAACCUUAAGAGUCCGUGGAUUUGUGUGUCUCAGUUUGUCCCUGCGGUUCGGAUGGCAGGCUGCCCCGGUUAGAAGGAAGGAGAGAAGCACAAAAGCCACCAGGAGAGACUGAGUCAGAGAGGGGAGCAGUGUGGAUGAUCUUAGGCUGGAGCUGACCCCAGAUCCAGAACCAGAACCAGAACGAGCCCCAAACCAAGCCCUGGAGCCGGACGAGGCAGAAGCAGCCUUACUCCCUCCAGCAGCCCAUCUGACCAUGGUAGUGUGCUGUGUGGAGGACUAGAGGCAGCCUCAGAGCCUGGGACAUGCUGCUGGGGGCGAGAAGAGGCUGAAAGGGCAGGGAGGGGAGCCCUCCACAGUCCAGAGGAUGAGACGGUCCCCAAGAUGAGUCCAGAUUAUGAACCACCUGAACAAUUUGAACAGCGUUAAGCCUCCUCAACAAGUGUUUAAAGCUGAUCCUCUGGGUUUUUUCCACUGAUGAAAGUUUCAGGCUGUUGAUCAGAAAAUCUACUGCCCGAGUCUGUUUUGGAAAAUGAAUCAGUCUGAUAAAGCUUAAAAAAAUACUCAAAUUACCCUGUUUGUGUACUCCAGUAACAAUCCUGUUUUCCACUCUCCUUCAGAUUUCUCUUUCUCUCAGAAUUGUUUUUGUAAUACGGUUGGUUUCAGUCUUGCUGCUCCAGUGUAACCUCUGUAUUUCCAUAAAAGGAAAUAAAGGAAAAAUAUAUAAAGUU